GAGAGAGUCUUAGCUUCUUAGUUAGAAAAUAAGAGGCUCUUAUGGAUAGACUAAGUGGCCAAUACUGUCCCAUUUUGUACCUGAAGACAACAGCGAUGUUGAGAAGCAUGUGGUUUAUUUAACCACAAUGGAAUCAGACUGGGCUUCAGGUUUUAGGCAGCAGGCAUAUUUGGGGCUUCUUUGUGCCAUCUCUAGCCCUAAGUUCCUCCUCUGAAAGCCCCACAGGUUAAAAUUAGAUGUUGCUGGCACACAAGGAAUGUUUUUAAUGUAAUAACUGCCUGUUUACCUCUUAGAACUGUAAACAGCCUAGAACAGGGAUGUCUAUCUUGUUGGCAUUUGCUGUUUCAUAGGAAAACAGCAGUCUCACAGAGAUACAGUUCAGUGAGCCAAUUAAGGCUUGCCUGUUAAAAUUAUGCAAAAUAUAUGGCAGUAACUAUAAAAGCUGUUAUUAAUUCAAAGCAUAGACCAUGAAAUCCAGGUUUCAGUGCUUACAAAGAAAAAAAAAAUGGAUCAAACAUCUUGGUGGCACUCAUGUGUUUCCAUUUCAAUUUCACAUUGUCUCUAGCCAGUGCUGUUUUGGGUAUCAGAUUACAGUCCUGAUGGAGAAUACUUGUGGAAAAUAUCCAUUCUGCCCAGAUGUUUAUGUCCCCUCCUCCUCCAGAAUUCAUGUGCUGAAAUAUUAACCCCCAGCGGUGAGGGAAUUCAGACAUUGGGCCUUUGGGAGGUAACGAGGUCGUAGGGCAGAAUUCUCAAGGAGUGGCCCCACUGACCUCCCCGGCCCCUUCCAGCAUGCGAGGACACAGCAAGAAGGCUCCAGCCGUGUACCAGGAAAGGGCCGUGAUGCUGCCUUCAUCUUGUACUUCCCAGCCUCAAGCACCUCACCUUGAGCAGAAAUGAAUUGAUUUAGUCAGACUUUGCUGAUACCAAACGCCUUGGCAUGACUUAUUGGCUCAUGGCUGAUCCCAGGAGAAGAUUGAGUGCCUACAAAUGAAUCAGACCGCAGAGAUCAGAUCCCAGCUCCAUAACUUACUAGCUGUGUGACCUUGGGAGCGCUUGCCUGGAUUCCUGGACAGCACCACCUGCAUCGUUUGUGAGGCCCAAGGCAAAAUGAAAAUAUAGACCCCCUUGUUCAGAAAGCAGGACAGAAAAGAUGACUGAAGCAAGAUAAGGACUGCCAUAAUUCCAUGAAGAAUAGAGAAACUACUGAAAUGACAGAAUCUUAAGAACUGAAAAGUACAUUUUCAUAAAGUGAUGCAGGAGCCAAGCCACCCCUCAGAGGCGUGCUGGGUACGAUGGGGAUUCCAGACAAUGAUUAGAAACAUGCAAAGCAGAUGAGAAAAGUCUCAGAGGAGCCAAGGGAUUCAUAAACCAGCAGACUUGAGCCUGGGUUCUGACCCACAUUUGGAUUUCUCAAGAGUAGGUGGGAACAAGAGAAGAUCUCACAACAUCAAUCUCCCCAGACCCUGGGGUGAUCUGGGAAGUCCAAGAAGAGGGGCCAGAUUGAGUAGGAGCCCAGGGGAAACAGACAUUGAGAGUCUUGGGAUAGCAAUUUUUUAAAUCAAGUUGUGCAGAAGUAAUUGAAUAAUUUUACAACUGGUACAGCAAACCUGGUAUGUAACAGCAAAUAUGAACCCUGGUCAUAAACACAUUAACUGAGAUAUCCAGUGGUUGGCUAAAAGUGAGAGGGAUCCACUCUCUGGGUAUGGAGUGGAAGGACUAACAAGAUGGUCCAUGAGACCAUCAGAAUGUGAGGAAGGGAAGGGCAUCUCAAGGCAUUUCAAGGAGACUGGAGGGCAGCAAGCAGCAGGAUCUGCAAACUGUUGUGGGGUCCACGGUUGGGGCACCAGGGACCUGAAACUGGAGGGACACACAGAG